rnacentral:rRNA from 1 species
AGAAGCAGAAUAGUUUGGGUGGUGCGCCCAAUUUCUACCUUUCCUAUGGGCGUAUGUUUAACCCGCGUGUGAAACUAGCAUAUCAAUAAGCGGAGGAAAAGAAACUAACAAGGAUUCCCCUAGUAACUGCGAGUGAAGCGGGAAAAGCUCAAAUUUAAAAUCUGGCGGUCUCUGGCCGUCCGAGUUGUAAUCUAGAGAAGUAAUGCCCGUGCUGGACCGUGUAUAAGUCUCCUGGGAUGGGGCGUCAUAGAGGGUGAGAAUCCCGUCUUUGACACGGACUACCAGUGCAUUGUGGUAUGCUCUCAAAGAGUCGAGUUGUUUGGGAAUGCAGCUCAAAAUGGGUGGUAAAUUCCAUCUAAAGCUAAAUAUUGGCGAGAGACCGAUAGCGAACAAGUACCGUGAGGGAAAGAUGAAAAGAACUUUGGAAAGAGAGUUAAACAGUACGUGAAAUUGCUGAAAGGGAAACGCUUGAAGUCAGUCGCGUUGGCCAGGGAUCAGCCUUGCUUUUGCAUGGUGUACUUUCUGGUUGACGGGUCAGCAUCAAUUUUGACCGCUGGAAAAGGUCCUGGGGAAUGUGGCAGCUUCGGCUGUGUUAUAGCCCCUGGUCGCAUACAGUGGUUGGGAUUGAGGAACUCAGCACGCCGCAAGGCCGGGUUUCGACCACGUUCGUGCUUAGGAUGCUGGCAUAAUGGCUUUAAGCGACCCGUCUUGAAACACGGACCAAGGAGUCUAACAUGCCUGCGAGUAUUUGGGUGGAAAACCCGAGUGCGCAAUGAAAGUGAAAGUUGAGAUCCCUGUCGUGGGGAGCAUCGACGCCCGGACCAGAACUUUUGGGACGGAUCCGCGGUGGAGCAUGUAUGUUGGGACCCGAAAGAUGGUGAACUAUGCCUGAAUAGGGUGAAGCCAGAGGAAACUCUGGUGGAGGCUCGUAGCGAUUCUGACGUGCAAAUCGAUCGUCAAAUUUGGGUAUAGGGGCGAAAGACUAAUCGAACCAUCUAGUAGCUGGUUCCUGCGAGUUUUCUUCAACGACGACGCUUCCACACCCUGCUUACAAGGAUGGGCUUCGAAUAUAAUGUCGUUUCGCCCCUAAUA